rnacentral:sRNA from 1 species
GUUGAGAAAUAUUUGGAUAUCCUGAAUAGCCAGAUCCGAAUUGAAUAUUUCCUAUUCCAGGCAUGUGAUUUCCUGUUGGGUAUCCAGGCUGAGCGUGUGGCAUUGGAGGAGGUACAGUUGG